CUGAGAGGGAAAGCGCGCGGCUCUGUCAAAUGUGACCAGUUUUAAGAAGCUAUUCACCAACAAUUAGAAUCAUAACUUGGACCUAAUUACAAAUAUACAGUUGCAGUAUUUCCAAUGUAAAACUUCUUCACAAUGACGAAUUCUGUUAGCUUGUACAUGUCACUGUAUGCUGUGGAGCAACAAGAAGUACUGAUUAGUCUUAGUUGGGGGGAAAUUUAAGGGAAACAUAAAUAAUGAUAUUUAGAUAUUAGUGUUAUUUAGUGUUAGACCUUGCAUCAAAAACCCUUAACGCUGUUUACACCCACUUUCAGAGUUGUGAAACCUUAUUUUGUCUAUGAAAACUGAGGCAAUUUCACUGAUAUUUCUAGAUCCAGUGGUGUGUGCGCAGAAAUUGUUCUUGUGUCUGGUUGCUUUGGUAUACACUUAUCUGUAGCAUGUACUAGAGGGCAGAAGUUGGAAUAGGUUAUAUCCAGAGUGUGAGGGGUCCUGUGAGGGGUGACUUUCCCUUAUUUUUCCUGACUCUGGAGCUGUAGCGGUCCUAGAUAGUGGGCAAGUUGGCACCAAAGAUCUUUUCUGCGGUUCUUAUUUGCAGUCUGAUCCUGUCCUGUUUGGUGGCUGAACCAAGGCCAAGCUGAGGUGCAGUUGUUGGUGUAUGAGGAGAAGAGUGUCACUUGCUGCUUCCUGUCUGUCAGAAGUUUGUUGAUCCACUGACUGUUGGAGGCAGAAACACUGAGCUGGAGAACCUGAUGAAGCCCCCGCAGCCCUCCAGAACUCUGUAUGUCAACUGGAAAACACAACAAAUUACAUCGCACAUUCAGUGACUUUUUACAUGCAUUAUUAUGUCACAAAUAAAUUUGUAUUGAGAUUUUA